rnacentral:lncRNA from 1 species
GUGUUGUCUCUCUUUAUGUAGUGUUGUGUUGUCUCUCUCUUUAUGUAGUGUUGUGUUGUCUCUCUCUUUAUGUAGUGUUGUGUUGUCUCUCUCUUUAUGUAGUGUUGUGGUGUCUCGCUUUAUGUAGUGUUGUGGUGUCUCUCUUUAUGUAGUGUUGUGGUGUCUCUCUUUAUGUAGUGUUGUGGUGUCUCUCUCUUUAUGUAGUGUUGUGUUGUCUCUCUUUAUUGUUGUGUUGUCUCUCUUUAUGUAGUGUUGUGGUGUCUCUCUCUUUAUGUAGUGUAGUGUUGUCUCUCUUUAUGUAGUGUUGUAUCUCUUGUCGUGAUGUGUGUGUGUUGUCCUAUAUUUAUAUAUGUGUUAUUUUUAAUCCC